GUCAAUUAUUUGGCACAAAUCGGAGUUAAAGACAAAGGAGAUUGUAUAUUUUAUUUGCUAAGAAUAGUUUUUUAAAAUGGCCUAGUUGUAAAAUUAAACUAUGCAGGGAGAGGACAAAAAAUUGGAAUAGAAAAAAUGUUGAUUGCAUAUGCUGCUAUUGAAACUGUGAAGUCAAAUAAGCAUGGCUUAUGCAGACAUGUAAUAGAGAUAGAGGAA